rnacentral:lncRNA from 1 species
GUUUUCUGUUAAGACCUUUGUGUAUGUCUAAUGUUGCCUUUUCUUUUUUUCUAGCAGGGCGCGACGCAGAUUGAGGAUUUAGGUAUGUUUUCUGUUAAGACCUUUGUGUAUGUCUAAUUUCGCCUUUUCUUUUUUUCAAGCAGGGCGCAACGCAGAUUGAGGAUUCUCAGGUAUGUUUUCUGUUAAGACCUUUGUGUAUGUCUAAUGUCGCCUUUUCUUUUUUUCUAGCAGGUCGCGACGCAGAUUGAGGUAUUCCAGGUAUGUUUUCUGUUAAGACCUUUGUGUAUGUCUAAUGGUUCUUUUUUUUUCCUUUAGGUCUGUGGCCUUUUUUUUUUUUGCAGGGCGCGACGCAGAUUGAGGAUUCCCAGGUAUGUUUUCUGUUAAGACCUUUGUGUAUGUCUAAUUUCGCCUUUUCUUUUUUUUUAGCAGGGCACGAUGCAGAUUGAGGAUUCCCAGGUAUGUUUUCUGUUAAGACCUGUGUGUAUGUCUAAUGUUGUCUUUUCCUUUUUUUCUGGCAGAUUGAGGAUUCCCAG